rnacentral:rRNA from 1 species
AUUGAACGCUGGCGGCAUGCUUUACACAUGCAAGUCGAACGGUAACAGGCCGCAAGGUGCUGACGAUCGGCGGACGGGUGAGUAAUUCACCCGAACGUGCCCAGUCGUGGGGGUUAACGCAGCGAAAGCUGAGUUAAUACCGCAUCCGAUCUAUGGAUGAACGCGGGGGUCGGAAAGGCCUCGCGCCACUGGAUCGGCCUGGGCCCGAUUAGGUAGUUGGUGGGGUAAAGGCCUUCCCGGACCAGGAUCUGUAGCUGGUCGCAGAGGAGGAGCGGCGACAUUGGGACUGAGACACGGCCCAGACGCCUACGGGAGGCAGCAGUGGCGAAUUUUGGGCAAUGGGCGCAAGCCUGAUCCAGCAAUGCCGCGUGCAGGAAGAAGGCCUUCGGGUUGUAAACUGCUUUUGUACGGAACGAAACGGUCUGGAUUAAUACCCUGCACUAAUGACGGUACCGUAAGAAUAAGCACCGGCUAACUACGUG